rnacentral:rRNA from 1 species
UAGGGAAUCUUCCGCAAUGGGCGAAAGCCUGACGGAGCAACGCCGCGUGAGUGAUGAAGGUCUUCGGAUCGUAAAACUCUGUUAUUAGGGAAGAACAAAUGUGUAAGUAACUAUGCACGUCUUGACGGUACCUAAUCAGAAAGCCACGGCUAACUACGUGCCAGCAGCCGCGGUAAUACGUAGGUGGCAAGCGUUAUCCGGAAUUAUUGGGCGUAAAGCGCGCGUAGGCGGUUUUUUAAGUCUGAUGUGAAAGCCCACGGCUCAACCGUGGGGGGUCAUUGGAAACUGGAAAACUUGAGUGCAGAAGAGGAAAGUGGAAUUCCAUGUGUAGCGGUGAAAUGCGCAGAGAUAUGGAGGAACACCAGUGGCGAAGGCGACUUUCUGGUCUGUAACUGACGCUGAUGUGCGAAAGCGUGGGUAUCAAACAGG